GGUGUGGGAGAUGAGGAAAAGAGAAGGGGUGAGUCCGUUGAGAGCGUCGGUUAAGAUCCCACAAUGACUAAGAGCAGGAAGGCUCCUUA